GCUUAAAAUGUUUAUAUUAAUUUCGCAAACUGUGUGUUGUUCAGUUGCUUACUUUCCAAUAUUCCAGUCUUUAAGAAUAUUACAUUUUAGGGAUCAUGAUUACUUUAGGAGCUUUGACUCUGAUACAUUUUCAAUUGACCUAUUUUCUUAACCUGUAACAUACAUUUAGAUAAGGUUAGAUUAACAUGUUAUGAAUUACGUCUGAAUUACAUACUGAUUUUACACUUUCAAAUAUAGUGCUUAUGAAUAUUGCUCUGUAUUUCAGUACCUGAUAGGCUGUUAUCCUAGACUCCGCCCCCCUCCUCCCCCCCUGUCUGUCCUUAUAGGAGCUCCUGCAGCCUCUCCUCUCCUCACACUACAACCCUGCUCCUCUCUCAGCUGGACAGGAAGGCUCCUUCACACUGACAACAUGCUGGGGACUCUCUGCACUCUCAUCACUGCUCUGAAUAUGUCACCUGUCAUAAAGCAGUCACACAGACACCGUCAGUGCUGACAGCAAACAAGAUGGAGACAGCCAUUUUCAACUGUGACAUUUCUAGAUAUGAAAGACAAUUUGUUAACUGGUAUAAACAGGUUCCUGCAGGAAUCCCUCAGUUUGUGUUAAUGUCUCACCAUGUUCUGGAAUCACAAUAUGGCUCUGGUUUCUCCUCUGACCGCUUCACAUCCAAAGCCACGUCUGAGACAGAUUAUCAGUUCAUCAUCGAUAAUGUGGAGGAGGCAGACUCAGCAGUGUAUUACUGUCACACAUGGGACGACUCUGCUAAUGAACACGUAUCACAGUGAUUUACACCAUGACAAAAACCUCCUUACCAAACACACUCACUUCUGCUUUCUGAGAGUCUGAAUAAAGACUCUAACUGAAUGAGAGAUGAAGCUGAACCAAUAUAUCUGCGGUCCUAAAGCAGGACCUGCUUUUAUUCUCCUGUACAUGUGUUGAGUUACUGUAGAUGUUAAUACUGUAUGAUUUAUAAAUCACAGGCCACCAUAACAUUAGGAGCUCUGACUUGCUGUGUAGAUAUUUUCUGUGUUGUUUUCUGCACUGUUGUAUUGUUCUGAAGUAAAAAUUCCUCUUUCUAAUUGAGUACUUAUGGACUAUACUCAUUUAUUUAGUUCCUGCUUGUUUUCAUUCAUCAUGUGUUCAUGGUGGGAUUGUUCUCAACCAGAAGCUCUCUGUCAUGAUUGUGAACCCAGGAAAAGAAGUCUCCAUUGACAGUAACAUUGAUAGAUAUGAUGAAGCCAGCAUCAGCUGGUAUGAACUAGAUACUGAUGGAGUUCUCUGUCUAUCAACUUCCCAGCUGUAGAAUGUUCUACUCUAAAUACCUGACAGACAUGGACUACCAGAUCACUGAGAAGCAUGUUGAAGGACUGUCAGUCACAUGACAACUCUAGAGUAAUGAUCCCUGUGAUUCUCACCAUGACAACAAAACCCUCUAAUUGUUAGUUGUGCUUUGAGGAUGAGGGUCAGAGAGGACCACCCUACAGAGCAGCAGUCAAGGAGUUCAUCCACAUCUCAAAGACACACCAGCAAUCAAGAUGUCCAUCAGUCUUACCACUACAUAUUUGAUCAGGAACAAACAGAAGAUUGAUUUGAAAAACAAGACUUUGGACUGUGGAAUACAUUUUAUAGUCACUGAGUUGUUCAGCUCCAGACCAGUCCAAAUGGAUUAUACUUGAUUCAUGGACAUCACAAAACACCUGAAAUUCAAUUUAUUUCAAUGUUGAUGAUAACAGUGAUAUAAUGAGAUAUGACUGUUUGUAGUGACUGGGAAGACUAGGAGUCUAGCAGACUUUGUUCUGCAUCAGCAGACCACUGAAGCUGCUGUUGUGAGUGAGGAGGUUUUUGUACGACCGAGUAUACGAUCUCAAUCACUGUGGUAUUCGGACAAGGAACCAAGCUGAUCGUGACUGCCUCGACCCUGCCUCCACCUGUCUUGACCCUCUUCCCUCCAUCCAGCGAUGAUCUGAAGACCAGCAAGGCCACCCUGGUGUGUCUGGCCAAUCAGAUGGCCGCGUUCUACGGAGAUGUCAGCUGGACGGCCAAUGGGAGUCCAGUGACGAGUGGGAUCCUAACAGGCACGGCCUCUAAGCAAGCUGACGGCAGGUUCUCCAUGAGCAGCUAUCUGACCAUCGAGCCGUCUGACUGGGACAAGGACCACGUCUACUCAUGUCAGGUCUCUGUGGGCUCCAAGUCUUCACAGAAGGCAAUCAAGAAGUCGGAAUGCAGCUGAAUAGAGUCAUAUCAGUCACAGUCAUUCAUUGCUUUUAAUGCUCACGCUGUCUAUGUGUUUUAUGUUUGCUGUCAUGUAAUGAUGAAGAUGUAGUUGCAAGUCAAAUUAUUUUAUUAUCUUACCAGAAGCUUGUGAGUAAAAACUGUCUCAAAGGAAAAUGUUUGAACUCUACUGUGUGCUGUUAUGUGUGGAAAGACUGAAUAAAAAAGCAUAGUGAUUCAAAC